rnacentral:rRNA from 1 species
GACGAACGCUGGCGGCGUGCUUAACACAUGCAAGUCGAACGGAAAGGCCCUGCUUUUGUGGGGUGCUCGAGUGGCGAACGGGUGAGUAACACGUGAGUAACCUGCCCUUGACUUUGGGAUAACUUCAGGAAACUGGGGCUAAUACCGGAUAGGAGCUCCUGCUGCAUGGUGGGGGUUGGAAAGUUUCGGCGGUUGGGGAUGGACUCGCGGCUUAUCAGCUUGUUGGUGGGGUAGUGGCUUACCAAGGCUUUGACGGGUAGCCGGCCUGAGAGGGUGACCGGCCACAUUGGGACUGAGAGACGGCCCAGACUCCUACGGGAGGCAGCAGUGGGGAAUAUUGCACAAUGGGCGGAAGCCUGAUGCAGCAACGCCGCGUGCGGGAUGACGGCCUUCGGGUUGUAAACCGCUUUCGCCUGUGACGAAGCGUGAGUGACGGUAAUGGGUAAAGAAGCACCGGCGAACUACGG